ACGUAGGUCACCAUCACUCCCACCCAGUUAAAUCUGCGAUUCUAUCUAAAUGGAGAUGCGAUUCUAUCACAAAGCUUGCUAUGAAUCGCUGAAUCGUGAUUCUAGAUGAGAAUUGUCUCCCCUUCCGACGAUUCCUGCUACUAAGGGGCUUCCAUUAUGUGAAAAUUGUUGUAAGUAAAUUUUGAGAGUGGUAGGCUCGGCCAGAAACUAGUCGGUGAAAGCAAAGACAACAUGGUAGGCACUUAGCAACUCAAAGUACUAAAGUGACCUUUGUACCAUGAAAAUGGAGGGAAUAUUAAAAAAGUGAAAAGUUAGAAAAUAAUUGCAAGCUCAUGAAAGUACAAGUGAUUUAUGCACAAGAUUGCACAAAUGAGUAUUGUACUUCCAUGAAUUUGCAAUUAUUUUUUUGCACAAAUGCCAAAUAACACUACCCGCAUUUAUACUCGAGCAUGAUAGAUGCUGGCAUACAACCCCCCAAAUAAUCCUCAUCCCAUACUAAUGGAUCACGAGGUGAUCAAACCAUAACGAUGGUGAAACCUCUUGCACCAUAUCUAAUGCUUGGGUGAGAAACCUUCCAGCAGGAGAUGGAUUCUCUAGGAGGAUGGAAUGAGAUUCAAAAUUCAAACACCAAAGGACACAACAAAAGCUAUAAAUACAUGGUUGUUGUAACCGUGGAGGUCACAUAGAAUUGAACUCUCUCUCUCUCUCUUAGUCGGAUAAUCAUCUCUUGCGUGAUAACUACCCUCAUGGGAAUUCUCAUCCAUAUCCAUGUUUUUAACACACACUAUGCCUACUUAUCCCAAAUUAACCAACAAUCAAAACAGAGUUCAGGGCUUCUUUGGAGCUUCAAAACGGCAGCACUGAGGAACUGGUCAUAUGAAAUUUCUCAUUUAUUUUUUCAAGUGUAUGACGAUUAAAUUAUUUCUGUUGUCAGUGUUGUGCAUUACAUAACAUUGAAGGUGGCAUUUAGACAAGUAUUAUACAAGAAGCAGUUGUCUCCACAAUAAAGAGAUUUUUUUCCUUCACCUUUGCCAUUGGAAGAAUUAUGUUUUAAAAGGUUACUAAUCUCUAAACAAAUGUGACUACCUCCAAAAUCUCCUAAAGAAACAAGAUUUUAAAUUCAGUCCAACUAAUCUUGCCUUACAACAGAUUAUACUUAACAAUUUAAUACACGCCUUCUUUGGAAGCCUAAGACCUGUUCUCAUAGUCGCUCACAUUGCUUGUCAGAUUUUCAGAAAAUAUACCAUUCAAAUCGAUUCAAGACAGACUACAUCAUACUGCUUUUCUAUAGCAAAUAUUACAAAGACCAAACCAGAAGGACCGUAUAUUGUGGUAGCAUUCGAGAUUAUCAUUCCAAAAUAAUUACAAAUAUUAAUGCUUAAUCACUUUUGAUUCAAAGAAACUGCCUUACCCACAACUAAAAGAACAAAAUCAUCAUUCGGUAUAUGGCAAUAAUUUGAAAACCCUAAUUUACCCUUUUUUUUUAAAAGCAAAUAUUUAGGAUUGUCAAUUUCCAUAACAGCAAUUUUACCCCAAUUAAUUGACACAAUAAAACAAAAAGCAAAAAAUCCACAGAAACCAAUAUUUUUUUUCCUACCAUCAAUUUUUUUUAAAAAAAAAAUCAUAAUUAGUGCUUAAGGUGUGCAGGAGAGGUAUCACUGGAUUCCCAUAAUAUUCAAACCCAAGCGCUGGGGACAGAUAGCAAUUGCCUUUGGUUGAGGUCACAAAUAACAAAUUCUAGCACCAAAUAACAAAUUCUUCAUUUAAAUACCUUAGGAAAAUUAACAUUAUCUAAUCCCCUAAUAUACUGGGUGUCCUCGAUUCGAGUCUUACCUGCUACAUGAUGCAAUUUCCAUAGCACAAAUAAUAAAAAUCAAAAUAAAAAAUCUCAAAAUAUAAUGGAACAUAAAUUUCAACCAAAUAAACAGAAAAGCAGAACAAAAUAGCAUAAUACAAUUGAAUCAGAAAGUUUUAAAAAAAAAA